AUCAAGGGUUUUGGGACAUGAUGGAUGAGAUUGGCCAAAACACAUGGGUAUUGGAACCUGACCAUCCUCAACGGGCAUGCACUACCCGUAGGAUUGCUCUAGGCAACAACUCAUCAAUCCACAUAGACAUUAACCCACUUCACCCAAGACUUCUACCUGAGUGUAGAUUCUUAGGAGCUGAUCAUGUUAUAAUCCCUCUUAGAGAGAAUCUCAACUCUAAUCUGAAUCUGUG